rnacentral:rRNA from 1 species
AGUAAAUUGGUUAAGUUAGAAAGGGCGCACGGUGGAUGCCUUGGCACUAGGAGCCGAAGAAGGACGGGACUAACACCGAUAUGCUUUGGGGAGCUGUACGUAAGCGUUGAUCCAGAGAUUUCCGAAUGGGGGAACCCACUAUCUUUAGUCGGAUAGUAUCCUUACGUGAAUACAUAGCGUGAGGAAGGCAGACCCAGGGAACUGAAACAUCUAAGUACCUGGAGGAAGAGAAAGAAAAAUCGAUUUCCUGAGUAGCGGCGAGCGAAACGGAAAGAGCCCAAACCAAGAAGCUUGCUUCUUGGGGUUGUAGGACACUCUAUACGGAGUUACAAAAGAAAGUUAUAAAUGAAGCGGUCUGGAAAGGCCCGCCAAAGACGGUAACAGCCCGGUAGUUGAAAUGGCUUUCCCUCCAGAGUGGAUCCUGAGUACGGCGGAACACGUGAAAUUCCGUCGGAAUCCGGGAGGACCAUCUCCCAAGGCUAAAUACUCCCUAGUGACCGAUAGUGAACCAGUACCGUGAGGGAAAGGUGAAAAGCACCCCGGAAGGGGAGUG